AUACGGUGCUCCAGAGGCUAUAACCAGGGGAACUAUCUGAUGAAGAGUCGACAGGUUUUGCAGUGUUGCAAUGCCAUCAACCUUGGCCUGAAUGGUAAGUCUAUCGAGCCCAAUCAGUCCAACUAAAAGCUGAAUCAUCAUGGUUGAUGCCAUCUUGACCUUGUUUUUGUUACAGGAAGAGAGAAUCAGAAGAAAUGCCAUGGCCAUUUCAAGUAUUACCAUCUUCGUUUCUGACUGAAGGAUCUCUAGCAACAUUGGUACUGCGCCAGAUUUCACAAUGCGAACUUUGUUCCUGUAAGUUCACCAACAACCCCAGUUAUUAACAUAUUUUUCUGUUACUACCCCGUAAACACAAGCCAUAUGAAUAGGUUUACACAGAUAGAAGAAGAAACACAUACCUUUCACUGCCAAAGGCAAGGCUGAGUAAUGCAGAUAGAGCAACUUCUGUUGUGAUAGAGUCUUG
rnacentral:lncRNA from 1 species